GCAUUCCCUUGCGAUCCUUUGAUCCACAACAAUUCCCCCAAUAUGCCCAUUCGACAGCGGAUACUUCACCGCCAGUUGGGCUGUUGAGAUCACAGCGCACAGACGGUUUAAGGUGAUUCGCCCGAUGAUCAUGUUGUAUGACCCUUCCGUCUCAAGGAUUAGAUAUUUAACGCUGAGCGUCCUAGCGUUCUCUUCCUCGCCAAACGUGGUGUCA
rnacentral:lncRNA from 1 species